rnacentral:rRNA from 1 species
GUCCACGCCGUAAACUAUCAAUACUCGUUUUCGGCGAUAUACAGUCGGAGACUAAGCGAAAGUGAUAAGUAUUGCACCUGGGGGAGUACGAUCGCAAGGUUGAAACUCAAAAGGAAUUGACGGGGGCCCGCACAAGCGGUGGGAGCAUGUGGUUUAAUUCGAUGAUACGCGAGGAACCUUACCAGGGCUUAAAUGUAGAAGGAAUGAUGUGGAAACAUGUCAGCCUUCGGGCCUUCUACAAGGUGCUGCAUGGCUGUCGU